UACGUAGGGUGCAAGCGUUAAUCGGAAUUACUGGGCGUAAAGCGCGCGUAGGUGGUUCGUUAAGUUGGAUGUGAAAUCCCCGGGCUCAACCUGGGAACUGCAUUCAAAACUGACGAGCUAGAGUAUGGUAGAGGGUGGUGGAAUUUCCUGUGUAGCGGUGAAAUGCGUAGAUAUAGGAAGGAACACCAGUGGCGGAGGCGGCGACCUGGUCCGAGACUGACGCUGAGGCGCGAAAGCGUGGGGAGCAAACAGG
rnacentral:rRNA from 1 species